UGUAAUAAAUGUCCACAACCCCACACUAUACACCCCUCUUCACUCCACUCCUCCCUCCUUUGUGAUUGAAAAUGAGAGUCCCUUCACCUUUAAAAAGAAAAUAGAUGAGCGGUCUGCACCCGCAAGGCGGUGCUCUUGUUAUCAUUUGACAUUUUCUGAAGUUUUAAUUAAAUAAUAAUUCCACAUUCAUCUUCCUGAUUAGAAACAUACAAUUGAGUAUAAACAAGUAACAUUCCAAUUUAAAGGUGAUAUAUAUGAAUACCAAAUUUAUCACUUAUACAUUUGAUGUGAGAAAAGGGAUGAAUGUUGAUUUCCGAUUGUAUGUGUAAAUAUGAAAUCCUGAGAGUGCAAUGUAUACACAUUAAAAGUUCAUAAAUCAUUCCAUUAAGCUUUGUUGCCAUCAAAUGGCCUUGUUAAAUCCUUCUUUAUUAGCUCGGCUGUGUUCGGAGAAAACCGGAGGUAUUGUCAUAGCAAGCUCGUUAUGUUGUCUGCCGUCCGUGUCGUGCUAAAACCUUAACAUUUUGUCAAGGUUUUGAACAUUGGCUAUAAAAUCAAAGUGCUCUCACUUACAACUUUGAAACUUCAUAUGUAGCUGCACCUUGAUGAGUUCUACACGCCUCACCCAUAUGUGGGUCACUAGGUCAAAGGUCAAGGUCACUGUGACCUAGAAAAAUUUUUUUGACAAACUUUCAUUUAUUAAAAAAUGCACCCACAGCCGAGCGUUGGCACCCGUUAUGCGGUGCUCUUGUUUUACCCCCUUCCUUCCCCCUGCUCCACCCCCAUAUCCAAGGUAUGAUAUACCUGUAUACUUAAAAAUCUCUUAGGUCAGAGAACAGUCUUAUAAAGGAUUAACAAAACACAGAUGUAGAGAACAUGGUUUAAUAAACCCUGCUGGAAAAGUUGGUUAGAGAAAAGAUUGUAGAUAAAUAUCCAAUAUUCCAAUUUAGUUGCAAUCUAGUUUAAUGUGCGAUGCUAUUUCAAUAUUUUGACUGUUCACACAUAUUUUUCAAAAUAGCAGCAAUGAAGCUGAGAUGAAAUGUUAGAGGUUUGUGAAGUGUUCCAUUGUUCAAGGGUUUGCUCAUAAUCGAAGUCAAAUCAAAGACAUAGGUAGUCCAUUAAUGUGUGAAUUGUGCUAUUUUAGUUGUUGUUAUCCCGCGCCAUCGGCGGAGGGAUAUUGUUUUGGCGUUGUCCGUCCGUCCGGAGCCAUAUCUUGGAAGUGCUUAGGCAGAUUUCAUUGAAACUUGGUAUGAGUAUAUAUAUGGAUAAGAGGAUGAUGGACGCCAAAUGGCAUUGUACACCAUCUGUUAAUAACAGAGUUAUGGCCCUUUAUAUCUUGAAAAAAUGCUUUUUUGAGUGUCAAAUAUAACACUUUUGUGUCCAAAAGCAUAUUGGCGGGGGAUAUCAAUUCAACGAAUUUGCUUGUUGUUUGUAUUUUUCUCUGAAUCUCCUGCUCAAAAAUGACUCUCAUGCCAGUGAUAAUACAAAUAUUUUAAAUUAAUUAAAUGAAUAUGAAAACAACUGUUAAGAUUUGAUUAAGAAAUCCAUAUCUGAACUUUUUUUGUUAUUUGUUUAGCUCACCUGAUUGCUCAGGUGAGCUUUUGUGACUGGUCUUUGUCCUUCAUACGUCCAUCCGUUAAUAUUUGUUCGUUAACACUCUAGAAGCCACAUUUAUUGUCCAAUCUUCAUGAAACUUGGUCAGAAGCUUCGUCCCAAUGAAAUCUCGGUCGAGUUUGAAACCCAAUCUUCAUGUAACUUUGUCAAAAUGUUAAUCUUAAUGAUAUGUUGGUUGAGUUCAAAAGUGGUUCCGGUCCGUUGAAAAACAUGGCCGCCAGUGGGCGGGGCAGUUUUCCUUAUUUGGCUAUAGAGAAACCUUGUUAACACUCUGGAAGUCACAAUUUUUGCCCAAUCAUCAUGAAAGUUGGUCAAAACAUUGGUUUUAUUGAUUUCUCGGACAAGUUUGAAAAUGGUCCAGAUCGGUGAAAUAACAUGGCCGCCAGUGGGCGGGGUAUUUUUCUGUAUAUGUAUAUAGUGAAAACAUGUCAACACUCUAGAAGUCGAAUUUUUGGCCCAAUUUUCAUGAAAUUUUGACAGAACUUUUGUUUCCUAGAUACGUGAGUUAAGUUUGAAAAUGGUUCCGGUCUGUUGAAAAACAUGGUUGCCAGGGGAACGUGGCAGUUUUCCUUAUAUUUAUAUAGUAAAAAGGCUUGCAAACAAUCAUGAAUUAAGGUCAUGUAACAUGUGAGACAACUUUUCUAAAUAUUGCAUUUAAGAAUACAGUAGUUACUCCCCUUUGAUAAUUAAUGUUAUCAUAAUAAUACAGUGUAGUUGUGUUGCAUUUAUGUGUUAAUUGUUAUUCGAGGUUGGAUGUUUUUAUGCCCCCUUUCAAAGAAAAGGGGGCAUAUAGUGAUUGGACUGUCCGUCCGUCCGUCUUUCUGUCACACUUUGCAUUAAGGUUUCCAAAAAUGCUCAUAACUUCUAUGUCCCUUGAGAUAUAACCUUCAUAUUUGGUAUGCAUUUGUAUAUGGACAAGGCCUUUCCUUACGCACACAUUUUUUUAGCCCUGUGACCUUGACCUUGAACUUAGGGUCUGCGUUUAGGUUUUAAAAUCUGCGUUUAGGUUUUGAAAAAUGCUCAUAACUUCUAUGUCCCGUGAGAUAUAACCUUCAUAUUUGGUAUGAAUGUGUAUAUAUACAAGGCCUUUCCAUACGCAUACAAUUUUUAACCCCUGUGACCUUGACCUUGAACUAUUGGUCCGCGUUUAGGUUUCGAAAUCUGCGUUAAGGUUUCGAAAAAUGCUCAUAACUUCUAUGUCCCUUGAGAUAUAACCUUCAUAUUUGGUAUGCAUGUGUAUAUGGACAAGGCCUUUCCAUAUGCACACAUUUUUUUCCCCUGUGACCUUGACCUUGAACUUAGGGUCCGCGUUUAGGUUUCGAAAUCUGCGUUUAGGUUUUGAAAAAUGCUCAUAACUUCUAUGUCCCUCGAGAUAUAACCUUCAUAUUUGGUAUGCAUGUGUAUAUGGAAAAGGCCUUUCCAUACAAACACAUUUUUUUACCCUGUGACCUUGACCUUGAACUUAGGGUCAGCGUUUAGGUUUCGAAAUCAGCGUUUAGGUUUUGAAAAAUGCUCAUAACUUCUAUGUCCCUCGAGAUAUAACCUUCAUAUUUGGUAUGCAUGUGUAUAUGGACAAGGCCUUUCUUUACGCACACAAUUUUUUACCCCUGUGACUUUGACCUUGAACUUAGGGUCCGCAUUUAGGUUUCGAAAAUCUGCGUUUAGGUUUCGAAAAAUGCUCAUAGCUUCUAUGUCCCUUGAGAUAUAACCUUCAUAUUUGGUAUGCAUGUGUAUAUGGACAAGGCCUUUCCAUACGCACACAAUUUUUUACCCCUGUGACUUUAACCUUGAAGUUAGGGUCCGUGUUUAGGUUUCGAAAUCUGCGUUUAGGUUUCGAAAUAUGCUAUAACUUCUAUCAAAGUGUUUAUAGGGGGCAUAUGUCAUCCUAUGGUGACAGCUCUUGUUUUUAGCUCACCUGAUUGCUCAGGUGAGCUUUUGUGACUGGUCUUUGUCCGUCGUCCAUCCGUCCACAUUUGUUCGUAAACACUCUAGAGGCCACAUUUAUUUUCCGAUCUUCAUGAAACUUGGUCAGAAGAUUUGUCCCAAUAAAAUCUGGAUCGAGUUUGAAACUGGGUGAUGUUGGUUCAAAAGCUAGGUCACUAGGUCAAAAAAAAGAAAAAGCUUGUAGACAUCAUGAAAUCAUCAUGAAACUUGGUGAAUAGAUUUGUUUUAUAUAUAUCUCAGAUGAGUUUGCAAAUGGUCCCGAUGGGUCAAUAAACAUGGCUGCCUGGCAGUGUUUUUUUUAUGGCAAUAUCGGGGCCGAUAUUUGGCCCCAUUCCCGUCAAAAAAGAGUAUAUAUUUUUCCCCCAUUUUGUAAAAAAAAUCCCCUCCAGAUGUAAACAAAAAUAAAUAAUUUUUUUUAGAAAGAACUGUUUCAUAAUCAUGAUAAAUAUAUCUCAAAUUUAUUUCAUAAAUAACUAGCAAAGUAUGUAACUAUAAUUUAUAUGAUUUUUAAUUAUAAUAAAGUGUUAUAUUGAAUAGAUAAGAUUUUCCCAAAUCAGUGGACUUGAAUUGCAUUUUUCUCCCAAAAUGGCCAGGAAAAGGCCUGAUGUAUCUGUAUUGUGUCAAUAUUUGUUGAUAAAACAUUCCAAUUUGGUCCAUUUAAUUGAUAAAAAAUGCUCAAAUUUGCGAUUUAAUCGAUUUAAAAAACUCAUUUAGACUCAGAAUGGCUAAGAAAACUGAGACUGUGCAUGAAGGCUGAACUGUAUGAAACUAAUGUUGAAAAAAUCAUUGAUAUAUAUUUCAGAUAAAAGACAGAGACAUUCUGCUGUGAAUAUUAUAUUCAUAAAAACAUGUGUAUUCAUAUAAUAAAUAUCAUUACAUAUAAAAGAGUGAAUUUUUAAUUUUCUCCUUUUCCUAAAAAACGACGCAUUUUUCCCCUUUGGACGGGCCCUGCCACCAUUCCCCUAUAAGUGAAAAAAAACACUGCCUGGGGGGUGGGGCAGUUUUCCUUAUCUGACUAUAUAGAGAGAAACCUUGUGAUCGAACACUAUAGAGGUCACAUUUUUCGCCUAAUCAUCGUGAAACUUAGUCAAUACAUUGGUUUUAUUGAUUUCUUGGACAAGUUGGAAAAUGGCUCAGAUCGGUGAAACACACUUUUUAGCUCACCUGAUUGCUCAGAUGAGGUUUUAGGUCUGGUCUUUGUCCGCUGUCCGUCCGUCCACAUUUGGUUUGUAAACACUCUAGCAUUCACAUUUCUCAAGCAUUCUUUAUCAAAGUUGCUGAAAGAUCUCAGCCAAGUUUGAUGAUGAGCAAAAUCACAUAAUUAAUGCCAUAAUUAUUGCCCUUAGAUUGUCCAAAUUUUCAUUAUAUUAUACAAAAUCCUUGUAAGCAAAGUUUGAUGUUUUGGGGGUCAACUCAAAAUAUAGGUCACCAUUCCAAAUCUUACAAAAACAAAAACACUCCCUACACCAGAGUUUUGGUUCAAUAAUGAUGAAACUUGACCAGGAUGUUUGUCUGGUCAAUAUCUAGGUCAUGUUUGACAUUAGGUAAAGAUUGAAUGAACCGACUCCUCUCAGGUGAGCGAACUAGGGCCAUCUUGGCCCUCUUUUAUGAAUGAGUAUGAAAAUUACAAAAUAAUACACUCAGUAAUAAAACAUUUGUUUUGUUUUUGGUGACAAUAAGGUCUGAUAGUUUAAUUCAUUUUACACUUGUUGCAUUUCACUCAUUUUUUUCUUAAGCAAUUGAUUGUACUAUGAAUUAUUAUUAUUAUUAUCAUCGCAUGUUUACAAUUUUCUAACUGUAUUUUCUAGCAAUGCCCUUUACAUUCUGCAGUAAUAUAUUUUGUAAACGGAUUUCAUGAUCUAUAUAUCCUAAAGUAUAUCACUUAUAAGAAUGUAAUUUUGAAAAUAAAAUAUUUAUUGCUAAA